UCCCUGUGUAGCCGUCACAGAUGCCUGUCUAUUGAUAGGAACCCAGUUUCAAACAUAGAAUUUAAAUUUAAGAGAAAGAUGCACACCAAAUUCACGCCUGAUUUUUCUGGUGGCUUGAAAGGAAGUAAUGGAGUUUUAAAAAAUGUGUGAACAAUUGAGAUGAAAUGCUCAAUGUGUAUACAAUCAUUUACGUGGCAGGCAAUGCACUGCAUGCUGGAGCUAAAAGAGAAAGGCCAGGGGCUUUCAAUCUAUUGAGGGAGGCAGAUAAAAGAGUAAUACAAAGUGAUUGGUGCUACAAUAUGCAACAAGAGGUGGGAAUGUUAAAAAGGAUUGAUUUACUAAGACUGGAAAAAUCCGAGAAGGCAUUAUGGAGAAGAUUUGAGUGGGUUUUGCAGUAUAGAUAAGAGUUCAGAUGGAGGAGAGAGAAGUGAAAUGAAGGAGAAUGGCAAGGGGCGUUGUAAGUGGAAAGACAUACAAGGAAAAACUCAGGCAUGUUAAAGUUUACCCUCUACUUGGGGAACAAACCAUAGGCCCCCUUUUCAGAUUCCCUGAAACUACUAUUUCCCUAAACCAGAUUGGGAAAUGCCACUGUCACUUUGAAGAACCACUGAGUUGUUUUUUGUUUUUUGUUUGUUUAUUUGUUUUUUGGUAGGAGAGGGGUUUAAUCUGGACUGGAUUUGGAGGAAAGGAACUGGCACCAGAGUGGAGGCUGGAUGGAUGGUGGAACUGACACUGGGACAGAACACAGAAAACAGAAUCUAAUGCUAUUCCUCUGGCUGUAUCAAAUAAAAGUAUCAAGAGUGAGCAUCCCUGCCUUGCGCUGAAUCACAGAGGAAAACCUUUCAGUUUUUCUCCAUUGAUUAUGAUGUUAGCAGUGGGCUUUUCACAUGUGGGCUUUAUUGUGUUGAGGCUGGAGUGCAGUGGUGCGAUCUUGGCUCACUGCAACCUCCGCCUUCCGGUUUCAAGCAAUUCUCCUGCCUCAGCCUCCUGAGUAGCUGAGAUUACAGGUGCCCGCCACUACGUCUGGCUAAUUUUUGUAUUUUUAGUAGAGACAGGGUUUCGCCAUGUUGUCCAGGCUGAUCUUGAACUCCUGACCUUGUGAUCCGACUGCCUCAGCCUCCUAAAGUGCUGGGAUUACAGGCGUGAGCCACUGUGCCUGGCCAAGGCAAUGAUUUUUAAUAGUUUUUGGGAAGCAGAUUUUAUAAUACAUUAAAGGAAGAUGUGUGUGUGUGUCGUGUGUGUGUGUACAUAAUACAUAUAAAUAUAUCCAUUCAUCUUUUAAUAAACUAGGUUCAGCAUCUCAGCAUAUAAAGAUCAUACUUUUUGCCUGGGAUAAGCUCAGUUUUUUGCCUGGGAGAAGCUCAGUUUAUUCUAAUAUCAAGAAAAACAGGACAGAAUAGUAGCAAAGUUACAGGGGCAGAAGUUCAAAGAGCUGGGUUCCUUUUCAGCUGGGGUUCCAAUUCUGAAACCUUGAGCCAGUCACUUCGACUCAGUGAGCAGGUCUUCUCAUCUGUGAAAGGAAAAUAAUAAUAAUAUCCUUUUAUGAUCCAUAGGGAUAAGAAUGUACAUAUAUAAAUGUCAAAAGUUUUCCAAUUGUAAAGUGCUAACAAAUAAAGAUACUAUAAUACCAUGACUGCCAUACCUGAACUUAAAGCAGAUAGCAAAGACUUACUGCCAACACACACACACACACACACACACACACACACACAGUUGAGUAUUGUUCAAAUACACCAUAAUUUUUACAUUUUUGGCUAGGGUGUUCAAUAUUUAUUUUACAAAUGUUUGUUCUAUCUUCACUUUAGAAGAGAGGGUGACGAGAAGUGCUUAAAUCAAUGGUGAAGGAAAGCACAGCAACUAUCUUUUUUUAUCCUAGAUUUAUCCAACUCCCCCCUGCCUGCUAGUAUGCCUGAUCUGUGCAUGACUAUAAAUGUAAAGAAUUAUUUUAACUUUAUUUUAGCCUCUUCUCCAGAGAAAUGGGAACUUUUUUUUCUUCAACUUUUAUUUUAA